UUUUUGCCGAUUGUUGCGCGAUUCCUUGUUUUCUGCCGUAAAAUAGUCGACUUCGGCAGCAGCCGAAGUGUGGCCUUUUGAUCCUCUUAAACAAACAAAUAAUUUUGACGACAAGAAGAAUCGCGCCGAAGUGUGGACUUUUGGACUCUUGUAAAACAAAGAAUAUGUGACGUCAAGAAGAAUCCCGCCGAAGUCGUCGAAAUUUACAGUAAAGAAAGAUUGAAAUUAAUUUACUCUACCUAUUGUUAUUGCCUCCCGGUAGCCGGUCGGUUGGAUAGGGUAGGAUUCAACAUGUCUAAAGGCUAAGAAAGUUUUGUAUUGACUUGCAGCAAGUAAAUGGAAGGCUUGAAUAUAUGAUUGCGGAAUGAAAUUGAGCAAUGUUGCUAAGAAGAAACAUGACUGGAAAACAUUUAUGCUCUGUGUUGCCUGGGAUUGCAGAAGAAAGCAGUUUGGCAAAAUAAACAGACUUUUUUGAGUUAACAAAAUUAUAGCAUUAACUUUAUAAUGAAAACGUUUUCAGAUUCAAAGCUCCUGGCAAUAAACACUUUUUAAACGAUUUCUUAAAAUGCCACAAGGCCACAGACGAGAACACUAGUCUUGACUAGUUUUGGGAGAAUGACUUCGACAAGACUUGAUGAUGAUUGGUUUAAAAGCUCUAAUCUUAUAUCGAGAUAAUUCCUGGGAACAAUGUUAUAUGCUGACAGGCAUGGAAAAUGUUUGUGGUUCUACCAACAUAACGAAAUGACUUAGGAUAUAUACAUAUACAUCGCUAUCCUGAUUGACACAAAAUGUGUAAAUGUAGUUAACGAUAUCUGUUUUUAAAUGAUUUGUUUUGUUAAAAAUUUUAAGUAGUUAGUGUUUAUCGCAUAACAGCUAGGUAUUUCCAAGUUUGAUUCAACAUUUUAGAGUCUUAGCCAAUAAGGGCUACAUAUUUUUGACUGAAUGUUGUGCUAAAUCAGUAGUCAUUCACUUGUUGUGGUAGGUUGUGUUGUUUUUAAUUAGCUAUUGCUGCGUAAAAACCAAAUUUUAUAUAGCGGCCUUUACUUGUGCAAAAUCAUGAUAUAAUUUUGCUAUUUUUAUUUUAUUUAUCUGUUGUUGUUUAUGGUGUACUAUGAUCUAAUAAUACAAAUAAAGCCUAUUUACAAUGCA